AGGGGCAGCAUGAACUUAGCUUGCUAAGUUUGAUGGCGACCGGCGCACGGGUGAGUAACGCGUAUCCAACCUUCCGUACACUCAGGGAUAGCCUUUCGAAAGAAAGAUUAAUACCCGAUGGCAUAGUUCUUCCGCAUGGUAGAACUAUUAAAGAAUUUCGGUCAUCGAUGGGGAUGCGUUCCAUUAGGUUGUUGGCGGGGUAACGGCCCACCAAGCCUUCGAUGGAUAGGGGUUCUGAGAGGGUGAUCGGCCACAUUGGGACUGAGACACGGCCCAAACUCC
rnacentral:rRNA from 1 species